CGGGUGAGUAACGCGUGAGGAACCUGCCUCAAAGAGGGGGACAACAGUUGGAAACGACUGCUAAUACCGCAUAAGCCCACGGCUCGGCAUCGAGCAGAGGGAAAAGGAGUGAUCCACUUUGAGAUGGCCUCGCGUCCGAUUAGCUAGUUGGUGAGGUAGCGGCCCACCAAGGCGACGAUCGGUAGCCGGACUGAGAGGUUGAACGGCCACAUUGGGACUGAGACACGGCCCAG
rnacentral:rRNA from 1 species